rnacentral:rRNA from 1 species
CUGGCGGCAGGCUAACACAUGCAAGUCGAACGGUAACAGGAAGAAGCUUGCUUCUUUGCUGACGAGUGGCGGACGGGUGAGUAAUGUCUGGGAAACUGCCUGAUGGAGGGGGAUAACUACUGGAAACGGUAGCUAAUACCGCAUAACGUCGCAAGACCAAAAAGGUGGACCUUCGGGCCUCUUGCCAUCGGAUGUGCCCAGAUGGGAUUAGCUAGUAGGUGGAGUAACGGCUCACCUAGGCGACGAUCCCUAGCUGGUCUGAGAGGAUGACCAGCCACACUGGAACUGAGACACGGUCCAGACUCCUACGGGAGGCAGCAGUGGGGAAUAUUGCACAAUGGGCGCAAGCCUGAUGCAGCCAUGCCGCGUGUAUGAAGAAGGCCUUCGGGUUGUAAAGUACUUUCAGCGGGGAGGAAGGGAGUAAAGUUAAUACCUUUGCUCAUUGACGUUACCCGCAGAAGAAGCACCGGCUAACUCCGUGCCAGCAGCCGCGGUAAUACGGAGGGUGCAAGCGUUAAUCGGAAUUACUGGGCGUAAAGCGCACGCAGGCGGUUUGUUAAGUCAGAUGUGAAAUCCCCGGGCUCAACCUGGGAACUGCAUCUGAUACUGGCAAGCUUGAGUCUCGUAGAGGGGGGUAGAAUUCCAGGUGUAGCGGUGAAAUGCGUAGAGAUCUGGAGGAAUACCGGUGGCGAAGGCGGCCCCCUGGACGAAGACUGACGCUCAGGUGCGAA